rnacentral:rRNA from 1 species
AGAGUUUGAUCAUGGCUCAGAUUGAACGCUGGCGGCAGGCCUAACACAUGCAAGUCGAGCGGAUGAAGAGAGCUUGCUCUCUGAUUCAGCGGCGGACGGGUGAGUAAUGCCUAGGAAUCUGCCUGGUAGUGGGGGACAACGUCUCGAAAGGGACGCUAAUACCGCAUACGUCCUACGGGAGAAAGCAGGGGACCUUCGGGCCUUGCGCUAUCAGAUGAGCCUAGGUCGGAUUAGCUAGUUGGUGAGGUAAUGGCUCACCAAGGCGACGAUCCGUAACUGGUCUGAGAGGAUGAUCAGUCACACUGGAACUGAGACACGGUCCAGACUCCUACGGGAGGCAGCAGUGGGGAAUAUUGGACAAUGGGCGAAAGCCUGAUCCAGCCAUGCCGCGUGUGUGAAGAAGGUCUUCGGAUUGUAAAGCACUUUAAGUUGGGAGGAAGGGUUGUAGAUUAAUACUCUGCAAUUUUGACGUUACCGACAGAAUAAGCACCGGCUAACUCUGUGCCAGCAGCCGCGGUAAUACAGAGGGUGCAAGCGUUAAUCGGAAUUACUGGGCGUAAAGCGCGCGUAGGUGGUUUGUUAAGUUGGAUGUGAAAGCCCCGGGCUCAACCUGGGAACUGCAUUUGUGACUGUAUAGCUAGAGUACGGUAGAGGGGGAUGGAAUUCCGCGUGUAGCAGUGAAAUGCGUAGAUAUGCGGAGGAACACCGAUGGCGAAGGCAAUCCCCUGGACCUGUACUGACGCUCAUGCACGAAAGCGUGGGGAGCAAACAGGAUUAGAUACCCUGGUAGUCCACGCCGUAAACGAUGUCAACUAGCCGUUGGGAGCCUUGAGCUCUUAGUGGCGCAGCUAACGCAUUAAGUUGACCGCCUGGGGAGUACGGCCGCAAGGUUAAAACUCAAAUGAAUUGACGGGGGCCCGCACAAGCGGUGGAGCAUGUGGUUUAAUUCGAAGCAACGCGAAGAACCUUACCAGGCCUUGACAUCCAAUGAACUUUCCAGAGAUGGAUUGGUGCCUUCGGGAACAUUGAGACAGGUGCUGCAUGGCUGUCGUCAGCUCGUGUCGUGAGAUGUUGGGUUAAGUCCCGUAACGAGCGCAACCCUUGUCCUUAGUUACCAGCACGUAAUGGUGGGCACUCUAAGGAGACUGCCGGUGACAAACCGGAGGAAGGUGGGGAUGACGUCAAGUCCUCAUGGCCCUUAUGGGUAGGGCUUCACACGUCAUACAAUGGUACAUACAGAGGGCCGCCAACCCGCGAGGGGGAGCUAAUCCCAUAAAGCCAGUCGUAGUCCGGAUCGCAGUCUGCAACUCGACUGCGUGAAGUCGGAAUCGCUAGUAAUCGCGGAUCAGAAUGUCGCGGUGAAUACGUUCCCGGGUCUUGUACACACCGCCCGUCACACCAUGGGAGCGGGUUUUACCAGAAGUAGGUAGCUUAACCGCAAGGAGGGCGCUUACCACGGUAGGAUUCGUGACUGGGGUGAAGUCGUAACAAGGUAGCCGUAUCGGAAGGUGC